rnacentral:lncRNA from 1 species
GCAGAAGAGGAAAAAAAGGCUUCAAGAAAUGCACUGACAUUCCCAUAGUCAUGCAGCUGGAUCAAGCAAAGGAUCCACAAGAUGCUGCUGCUGCUUUGUGGCUGCAGGAUUCUGGUCUCAGGAAAACCCUCCAUUCAUUUUUUGCAUCAAUGUAGAAACUGAGGACCACAGGAUGAAGUUCGUUCUGAAAGAAAAUAUGGAGUUUUAACUAAAGACAGACAAGAAAUGUGAAGAGGCAAUCCAUGCAACAGAAAAUAAGAAAGAAAGAAUUUUGGUGACUUGGUAUAAUUAAUGAAAUCACAUUGAAGAUUGAAUUUUUCCAUAAUACCCUGUCAAUGAAAGGCCAAUCUAAACUUUUCUACAGGAGAUAGCAUGGGCUAUGAAUACAUGUUCUCGGCUUCCCCUAUUAGCCAACACUAAUAUCCCAUGGCUAAAAACAGUGACAGGCCUUAGAGUUACUCUAAGAAAAACUCUGGAAGCCAAGUAUAUGUGUGCAAGUUGUUAAGUAAGGAGGGGAAAGGCCCUUACAUCCUUACAGUCGAGAGACUGAUAUCUGGGAAUUGCAUCCUGCUUUUGCUACUGACUAGCA